GACAAAAAUGACGGAAAAAAGCUUAAGAAAAUGUCGGAGGAACAAAAAAAAUGUCAAAGCGCAGAAGAAAAGUGACCUAAACAUCAGGAAAAGGGCAAAAAGUCGCCACGAGGCUAACAGAAUGCACUGAAUGGAAAAUGUGGAAAUGACAGCUUACCUCUCUGUUAUGCUUUUAGAUGAAGACUUAAUUAACUGCUAAUAUGUAGUGAGAUGUGUGUGUGUGUGUGUUAUGUGUGUGUUUGCUUCUCUACCUCCUGCGCCACAGCAGCAGCCAGGUUUCCCCCGGCGCUGUCCCCAGACACACACACCCUCUCAGGAUCGAUGCUGUAGCGCUCCAAAACAGGAAGGGACAGGAAGGCCCGCGACGCUGCUAACGCAUCGUGGUACUGAUCUGGGAACACCGCCUCUGGAGCGAGACGGUAACUACAGCAACAGGAUAGCAUAGGAAGACAACAUUAUUAUGUCACAUAAUACUUUGAAGCAGGACUAAAGGCCAGAGCAGUUUGUUCCUCAGCCUACCUGAUUAGAAAAGGCUUAACAGUUUCAGAUUUGUUUAAAUGGAUUUUCCUUCAGAUUUGAUGUCCCCAAAGCAUCUAAUUUCAACUCCGAUGUAAGUAGAUACUGUUCAGGUUACUGUAAACAAUAUUCUUUGCAGCAACUACAGCUCAGUUUAUGCUUAAAUAAAAAGUGACAGAAAUUGACAAAAAGGAAAUACGUUUGACAGCCAGACCCCAUUAAAGUCAUUCAUAAAGUCCAAAUUCAGAUUUUCUCCUUUUUCAAAAAAAAAAUCUUAUCCAAAGGUCCACUUACUUUUUUAAGGAGCUUUCAGCCACACCUCACAGCUUUCAUUGGCUAAACCAUCUCCAUGAGAACUGAACUCCAUCCAUUUGUCCAAGAUUAAUUCCAGCAUUGAUGUUGCUGUAAUGUGACAGAACUUACUCCACGGACAUGAUGACAGAGUCCAGCUCCUCCGCCAUUUUCCGACAAAGAAGCUGUCAAGAGUUUUUCAAAUCAACACUCACUCCCGCUGCCAAGCGCCCAACCUCCACCGUGGAAAUAUAUGACUCCCCUCUUCAGCUGCUUCCCCCCCUUCGGCUGGAAGACUCGCGUGGGCACCCCGCCCAGCGUGGAGUCGGCCACGUGCACGGCGCUGCAGGAGCGAGCCUCGAUCUCCUCCACCCAGGACACCAGCCGGUUCAACAGGUGCACCCUGUGGCACACACCCAGCGCGUGAGCCACGUCACUCUGCAGAUACAAACAAGCACGGCAGCUAUUACAUGGUUAGAGGGAGUUCUGACCGUUUUGAAUCCUGGGUAAUGAUAGAAAUCCGAACUGUAUCGAUACAAAUGAAGUCUGGCUUUUGUUUACUCAGCAAAAAAAGAAACGUCCUGUCACUUUUAACCGCUUUUAUAUUUUAAGCAAACUUUACAUAUGCAAAUAUUUGCAUGAACAUUAAAAGAUUUAACAACUAAGACAUAAACUGAACCAUUUUCACAGACAUGUGACUAACAGAAAUGGAAUAAUGUGUCCCUGAACAAAAAUCAAAAGUAGCCCUCAGUAUCUGGUGUGGCCACCACCUGCAUUAAGGACUGCAGUGCAUCUCCUCUUCAUGUACUGCACCAGACUGGCCAGUUCUUGCCUGUACCUGUCCCGCAGGUGUGAUAUUGGGAUGUACCGAUCCUAUGCAGGUGUUGUUACACGUGGUCUGCCACUGCGAGGAUGAUCAGCUGUCCCUCCUGUCUCCCUGUAGCGCUGUCUUAGGCAUCUCACAGUAGGGACAUUGCAAUGUAUUUGCCCUGGCCACAUCUGCUGUCCUCAUGCCUCCUUGCACCAUGCCUAAGGCACGUUCACGCACAUUAGCAGGCACCCUGGGCGUCUUUCUUUUGGUGUUUUUCCAGAGUCAGUAGAAAGGUCUCUUUACUUUCCUAAUUUUCUUUUAACUGGGACCUUAAUUGCCUGCCGCCUGCAAGCUGUUAGUGUCUUUUUGACCGUUCAACAGGUGCAUGUUCAUUAAUUGUUUAUGGUUCACUGAACAAGCAUGGGAAACAUUGUUUAAACCCUUUAUAAUGAAGAUCUCCAAAGUUUUUUUUAUUUUUACAAAAGUAUCUUUAAAAUACAGUGUCCUGAAAAAGGGGCGUUUCUUCUUUCCCAGUUGAUUACUCACACUAAGACAAUAUUUUUGAUAUACUAGUUUUUUGAAAUGUUAUGUUGAAAUAUUCAAAUGAGGCAUUAUCUGGCUAAAUAUGCGCUAAUGUGCAUACAUUUACAGAACAGAAAUGUGAACAUUGGAUAAAGAUUUCAAAUAUUUUUUUAUUUUGUUGAAAUUUUAGAGUCAGUUUUUACAGAGGGGAUUUUGGAUAUCUCUCUAUAAAUCAGAAUAUCAACAGCCAUAAAAAAAUCCAAUUUUCUCCAUGUUUUUAGAUUUAAAAUGCUGUAUAAAUCAGGCUCUGAAUGAUAUCUGAACAAACCCCUCUGUGAAAACCUUCAGAAUAUGACAUUAGAUAAGAAUGAAAGUGGAAAGUUUGGUGUUGAUGUAAGUGCUACUGAAGUGGAGAUUUCUAACCUUUAAAGAUAUGGAUUGUGCAAUUCAUUUUGAAGACUACAGGUGAAUACGGUAAACCAUUUUAACUAACAGAAGCAUUAAACUUCCCCAGUUAAAGGACAAAUCAGGCACAUAAUGAACCUAGGGGUUAAUAACAUAUGUGUGCCGAGUUCAACCGUUCUCUGGGAUAUGUUUUCAUGCUAAUCGAAUGUGACCAGUUUUAGCGCAAACCACUAAUUACCUUAUAACACCAGUCAUCAGGGCACGGGUAAAGUAAAAAGAAAGACAGUACCUUUCACGUAUAUCUUGGGAAAACAGUCGCAACCAGUCAAACUGUGAACGGCGUGCAAUGGGAGCUGAACUGAAUGCACGUUGCACGGCUUUCUAAACUAUCUUUUUAAUAAACUGUCUGAACAUUUACAAAGUUCUCAAUGCUUCGGUUUACAUGUAGGGACC